CUACGGGAGGCUGCAGUGGGGAAUAUUGGACAAUGGGCGCAAGCCUGAUCCAGCAAUGCCGCGUGAGUGAAGACGGCCUUAGGGUUGUAAAACUCUUUCGCUAGGGAAGAUAAUGACUGUACCUAGUAAAGAAGUCCCGGCUAACUCCGUGCCAGCAGCCGCGGUAAUACGGAGGGGACUAGCGUUGUUCGGAAUUACUGGGCGUAAAGAGUUCGUAGGCGGACUGACAAGUUAGAGGUGAAAUCCCAGGGCUCAACCCUGGAACUGCCUUUAAAACUGUCAGUCUAGAGACCGGAAGAGGUUAGGGGAAUACCUAGUGUAGAGGUGAAAUUCGUAGAUAUUAGGUGGAACACCAGUGGCGAAGGCGCCUAACUGGUCCGGUACUGACGCUGAGGAACGAAAGCGUGGGGAGCAAACAGGAUUAGAUACCCCUGUAGUC
rnacentral:rRNA from 1 species